AUUGAACGCUGGCGGCAUGCUUUACACAUGCAAGUCGAACGGCAGCGCGGGCUUCGGCCUGGCGGCGAGUGGCGAACGGGUGAGUAAUGCAUCGGAACGUGCCCAGUAGUGGGGGAUAGCCCGGCGAAAGCCGGAUUAAUACCGCAUACGACCUGAGGGUGAAAGCGGGGGACCGAAAGGCCUCGCGCUAUUGGAGCGGCCGAUGUCGGAUUAGCUAGUUGGUGGGGUAAAGGCUUACCAAGGCGACGAUCCGUAGCUGGUCUGAGAGGACGACCAGCCACACUGGGACUGAGACACGGCCCAGACUCCUACGGGAGGCAGCAGUGGGGAAUUUUGGACAAUGGGGGCAACCCUGAUCCAGCCAUGCCGCGUGCGGGAAGAAGGCCUUCGGGUUGUAAACCGCUUUUGUUCGGGAGAAAUCCUCUGGGCUAAUACCCCGGGGGGAUGACGGUACCGGAAGAAUAAGCACCGGCUAACUACGUG
rnacentral:rRNA from 1 species